AACGAACGCUGGCGGCAGGCUUAACACAUGUAAGUCGAGCGCCCCGCAAGGGGAGCGGCAGACGGGUGAGUAACGCGUGGGAAUCUACCCAUCUCUACGGAACAACUCCGGGAAACUGGAGCUAAUACCGUAUACGUCCUUCGGGAGAAAGAUUUAUCGGAGAUGGAUGAGCCCGCGUUGGAUUAGCUAGUUGGUGGGGUAAUGGCCUACCAAGGCGACGAUCCACAGCUGGUCUGAGAGGAUGAUCAGCCACACUGGGACUGAGACACGGCCCAGACUCCUACGGGAGGCAGCAGUGGGGAAUAUUGGACAAUGGGCGAAAGCCUGAUCCAGCCAUGGCGCGUGAGUGAUGAAGGCCCUAGGGUUGUAAAGCUCUUUCGCAGGUGAAGAUAAUGACGGUAACCUGAGAAGAAGCCCCGGCUAACUUCGUGCCAGCCGCCGCAGUAAAAC
rnacentral:rRNA from 1 species